rnacentral:rRNA from 1 species
UGCCUCCUGAACCCACAUAGGAGGUAACUCCUGCCCAGUGAAAAACUUUAAACGGCCGCGGUAUCCUAACCGUGCUAAGGUAGCAUAAUCACUUGUCUAUUAAUUGUAGACUAGAAUGAAAGGAUAAACGAAAUAAGCACUGUCUCCGCUAGAUUACUAUAAAUUAUAAUUUAGAUGAAGAUAUCUAAAUAUAAAUGAAGGACAAGAAGACCCUAUAGAGCUUUAUCACACAAAGGGAAAAAAAUUUCCAUUUAUAGAUUCGGUUGGGGCGACCAAGGGAAAACUAUCACCCUUACUUCAAAGAUUUAUACAUCUCUUUUACGACCCUUAAUUAAGAUCGUAAAAAUAAGCUACCUUAGGGAUAACAGGCUAAUCUUAUUAAAGAGUCCUUAUCUAUAAUAAGGGUUGGCACCUCGAUGUUGGCUUAGGGUAUCUAUAUGGCGCAAAAGUCAUAGAAAGACGGUUUGUUCAACCCCCAAUUCCCU